GACGAACGCUGGCGGCGUGCUUAACACAUGCAAGUCGAGCGGUAAGGCCCUUUCGGGGGUACGACGAGCGGCGAACGGGUGAGUAACACGUGGGUGACCUGCCCUUAGCUCUGGGAUAAGCCUGGGAAACGUGGGUCUAAUACCGGAUAUGACUCCAUGACGCAUGUUGUGGGGUGGGAAAGCCUUGUGCGGCUAGGGAUGGGCCCGCGGCCUAUCAGCUUGUUGGUGGGGUGAUGGCCUACCAAGGCGACGACGGGUAGCCGGCCUGAGAGGGCGACCGGCCACACUGGGACUGAGACACGGCCCAGACUCCUACGGGA
rnacentral:rRNA from 1 species